AGAAAGAAGAAAGAAUUCUGGAAAGAAAAAGAAAAGAGAGGAAGAAAUAAGAAAAAAAAAGGAAGAAGAAGAAGGAAAGAGAGGAGAGAAAGGACGAAACCGAGUAGAAAGAGAAAAGAGCCGAGAGUAGUGAUGGUGGUGGCUGAAAGGAGAUUGUCGGUGAGCAAAUUCCGCUGCUUGAAAAGAGUGAAGAGAUUAAGCAAAUGGGAGUUUAAUUCGGAGGCAGGAUUUUGAAUCCUUCGACUUAAAAGCUGAGCUUCAAAAGUGGUCCAAGAGGAAAAGAAUUUUAGCAAAGGAAGGUUGAAUCAUUAGUGUUGUGCAAAUUCAAGCAAACUAUGGGUGGGUGGCAUGUCAUUCUCUCUCUCUAAAAACUCAUUACGAAAGGAACACGCAUGUUGAAGUGACUAUGCCAGCAAUACCACCAUUGCCAGGUUUACUCCUUUAGGAGGUAUGAAUUCUAUAUCUAUGAAAUAAUAUUCUCAUUGCACAUAGAUGUUACUCUUUCAACUAGC